rnacentral:rRNA from 1 species
CAGCACCUCAAGUGGUCAGGAUGAUUAUUAGGCCUAAAGCAUCCGUAGCCUGCUUUGUUAGUUUUCGGUUAAAUCCAUACGCUCAACGUAUGGGCUGCCGGGAAUACUGCAAAGCUGGGGAGUGGGAGAGGUAGACGGUACUCGGUAGGAAGGGGUAAAAUCCUUUGAUCUAUUGAUGACCACCUGUGGCGAAGGCGGUCUACCAGAACACGUCCGACGGUGAGGGAUGAAAGCUGGGGGAGCAAACCGGAUUAGAUACCCGAGUAGUCC